UAAAAGUGAAACCUAAAAAUAACAUUCAUUUUUCUCCUUCAUCUUUUUGGUGAAGCUUCUCUUGAUGGUCACCAUACAUUGCUUGGAGAAAAUUAGGGUUUUGAACUAAGCUUCUUUGCAUAUUUUUUUAGAUGAGAAUCUGGGUUGACUAUUUAUUGAUCUGUGAGCUCUAUUGGAAUUGAAUUUUUGUAUCUGUAGCAUGACUAUGACUUUCAAUAGUUUUUACCACUUGUUCUUUAUGCUACAACUGGGAUCUUAAAACUGAUAGAGGAGUUUUUACUUGGAGAUCAUGUGUGCUCAUGAUUUGUGUUCCUGUAAGAUUAAGAUGACUGUGUAUGUACAAUAAUGAUUGAAUUAUUUCUCCUUUUCACUGUA